CUAUUUCACCUGAUUAGGCCACACUAGGCUUUUGUGCUUGGUGGCAGAUUUUCCCGAUUCCAUAUUUUGGAAGUAUCAAGAGCUGUUUCAUGAGAUAAGCUGGCGAGAGAAAAUAGACUACUCUGGUAGGAAACUAGAGCAGGACACCUAAAGCACAUACAACAAAAGGAAAAAAAGAUAAAGCAGACCAUCAAAAUUCAAAACUAUGACACUAUCAUCAGAGUAAGAAGCAACUCACAGAAUGACAGAAUAUAUUUGGAAGUCAUAUCUGGAAGUGGCAGUAAUACAUUGCAGGGGACAUCCAAGGGGGAUAGAAGCAGACCAGAUGGCUAAGUCAG